rnacentral:lncRNA from 1 species
GGCAGGAUUUGUUUUAUCCAACUCAUCCCUUGACAUCGUGCUUCACGAUACAUACUAUGUAGUAGCCCAUUUCCACUAUGUUCUAUCAAUGGGAGCAGUGUUUGCUAUCAUAGCAGGAUUUGUUCACUGAUUCCCAUUAUUUUCAGGCUUCACCCUAGAUGACACAUGAGCAAAAGCCCACUUCGCCAUCAUAUUCGUAGGAGUAAACAUAACAUUCUUCCCUCAACCAUAUCACACAUUCGAGGAACCAACCUAUGUAAAAGUAAAAUAAGAAAGGAAGGAAUCGAACCCCCUAAAAUUGGUUUCA